GACGAACGCUGGCGGCGCGCUUAACACAUGCAAGUCGAGCGAGAACCCAGGCUUCGGCCUGGGGGAAAGCGGCGAACGGGUGAGUAUCACGUGGGUAAUCUGCCCUCGACAUCGGGAUAGCCCGGGGAAACCCGGAUUAAUACCGAAUGGCCCAUCCGCUCUUCGGAGCGGCCGGGAAAGGUAGCUUCGGGCUCCAGUCGAGGAGGAGCCCGCGGCGGAUUAGCUUGUUGGUGAGGCAACGGCUCAACAAGGCGACGAUCGGUAGCUGGUCUGAGAGGACGAUCAGCCACACUGGGACUGAGACACGGCCCAGACUCCUACGGGAGGCAGCAGUGGGGAAUCUUGCGCAAUGGGCGAAAGCCUGACGCAGCGACGCCGCGUGCGGGAAGAAGGCCUUCGGGUUGUAAACCGCUUUCAGGAGGGACGAAGCCACUCGGGUAAAUAGCCUAGAGGGUGACGGUACCUCCAGAAGAAGCCCCGGCUAACUACGUGCCAGCCGCCGCGGUAAGAC
rnacentral:rRNA from 1 species